GACGAACGCUGGCGGCGUGCCUAAUACAUGCAAGUCGAGCGCAGGAAACUGACGGAACUCUUCGGAGGGAAGGCAGCGGAAUGAGCGGCGGACGGGUGAGUAACACGUAAGGAACCUACAUCAAGGAUUGGGAUAACUCCGAGAAAUCGGAGCUAAUACCGGAUAGUUCAACGGACCGCAUGGUCCGCUGAUGAAAGGCGCUUCGGCGUCACCUUGAGAUGGCCUUGCGGUGCAUUAGCUAGUUGGUGGGGUAACGGCCCACCAAGGCGACGAUGCAUAGCCGACCUGAGAGGGUGAUCGGCCACACUGGGACUGAGACACGGCCCAGACUCCUACGGGAGGCAGCAGUAGGGAAUCUUCCACAAUGGACGAAAGUCUGAUGGAGCAACGCCGCGUGAGUGAUGAAGGUUUUCGGAUCGUAAAACUCUGUUGUAAGGGAAGAACACGUACGAGAGGUAAUGCUCGCACCUUGACGGUACCUUACGAGAAAGCCACGGCUAACUACGUGCCAGCAGCCGCUGUAACAC
rnacentral:rRNA from 1 species